rnacentral:rRNA from 1 species
AAUGAACGUUGGCGGCGUGGAUUAGGCAUGCAAGUCGAGGGAGAACCCGCAAGGGGGACACCGGCGAACGGGGUAGGAAUACGUAGGUAACGUACCCUCAGGACGGGGAUAGCCACGGGAAACUGUGGGUAAUACCCGAUGAUCUGGCUGGGAUCAAUUUCCUGGUCAGCAAAGGUGAGAUUCCACCUGAGGAGCGGCUUACGCGAUAUUAGCUUGUUGGGGAGGUAACGGCUCACCAAGGCGACGAUAUCUAGGGGGUGUGAGAGCAUGGCCCCCACCACUGGGACGGAGAUACUGCCAAGACACCUACGGGUGGCUGCAGUCGAGAAUCUUCGGCAAUGGGCGAAAGCCUGACCGAGCGACGCCGCGUGCGGGAUGAAGGUCUUCGGAUUGUAAACCGCUGUCGGGAGGGAUGAAGUGCACGGGGCAAUCCCCUGUGUUUGACAGAGCUCCGGAGGAAGCACGGGCUAAGUUCGUGCCAGCAGCCGCCGUAAGAC